GAGUCUCGUAAUUCUACCAUGGAAU
rnacentral:piRNA from 1 species